UGUCUAUUAAUUGUAGACCUGUAUGAAUGGCAAAAUGAGGGUUUAACUGUCUCUUAUAAUAAAUCAAUUAAACUGAUCUCCCAGUAAAAAAGCUGGCAUACUCACAUAAGACCAGAAGACCCUGUGAAGCUUAAACUAAACUACUAAACCCCAUAGUAAUUACUUUUGGUUGGGGCGACCUUGGAAAUAAAAAAAACUUCCAAAUAUAAUGACUAUAACUCAUAUACCACCCGGCUAACAAGCCUAUAAAUUAGACCCAGCACAGCUGAUAACUGAACCAAGUUACUCCAGGGAUAACAGCGCUAUCUUCUUCAAGAGCCCAUAUCAAAAAGAAGGUUUACGACCUCGAUGUUGGAUCAGGACAUCCUAAUGGUGCA
rnacentral:rRNA from 1 species